ACGACUUAUAAUUCUUGGUCAACCUCUAAGCAACAAGCGGUGGAUGUUAAGCAUGGAAGGUCAAGUUGUUUGUGAAGGAACACAGCCCAGCUUUGUCUCUGGCCUUGCAGCGCUGUUUGCCACAUUCUACAAUUUCAACCUCCAGUAUCAGGAAGAAGCAGCGUGCACCCUUGAGUUUGUUCAAAGGCGCUUUAUAGACAUCAACCCUGAACGUGGCUCAAAAACCAAGAAAGGGAAAGUGACUUCCAAG